AACGAGGUAUUUUGAUUGAAGUUUUCGGAUGGAUUUCAAGAUACCGAGUGGCGGACGGGUGAGUAACGCGUGGGUAACCUGCCUCAUACAGGGGGAUAACGGUUAGAAAUGACUGCUAAUACCGCAUAAGCGCACAGUACCGCAUGGUACGGUGUGAAAAACUCCGGUGGUAUGAGAUGGACCCGCGUCUGGUUAGCUAGUUGGUGAGGUAACGGCCCACCAAGGCAACGAUCAGUAGCCGACCUGAGAGGGUGACCGGCCACAUUGGGACUGAGACACGGCCCAGACUCCUACGGGAGGCAGCAGUGGGGGAUAUUGCACAAUGGAGGAAACUCUGAUGCAGCGACGCCGCGUGAGUGAAGAAGUAUUUCGGUAUGUAAAGCUCUAUCAGCAGGGAAGAAAAUGACGGUACCUGACUAAGAAGCCCCGGCUAACUACGUGCCAGCAGCCGCGGUAAUACGUAGGGGGCAAGCGUUAUCCGGAUUUACUGGGUGUAAAGGGAGCGUAGACGGCGACGCAAGUCUGAAGUGAAAUACCCGGGCUCAACCUGGG
rnacentral:rRNA from 1 species